rnacentral:lncRNA from 1 species
GUACUAAUGAACAAGGGCUUAGGAGUCAGGAGGCGGGGUUCAAAUCCUUGCUCAGCUACUAUGUGACCUUGGCCAACUUCCUUCCAUGGCUCUCCAUUUCCUCAUCUAUCAAACAAAGAUUGUACAAACAAGUCCAACAAACCCACCAUUAUGCCCAUCCUGGCCCAUGAAAGCAAGCCCUCUGCUCUAGCCAAAAUUGGAAUCAUCAGCCUGAGACCCUGCUCCCCCUCCUAUGGCCCUAUCCUAUCCUGAUCAGACUGCACUAGAAUUCUCCCUGGUUCUGAGCUCUGCACUUCUUACCCUGUCCCGGAUGACUGCUCUUCCACCCCCUGAUUUCUCCGUCCUCCUGAUUUUCCUGAGGAGAUGGACCAGCUCUUUGGAGCUGGGGUAUGGGAUCCUCUCUGGCAGCGUGCUGCAGGACAAAGGUGGCUUCAACAGAAGUGCAGAUUUCAAUUUCCUUGCAUCCCUUGGUCUGUUUGUGACCUGCUGAUGGUAAAACCUCUUCAUUUAUCAAUGUGCUCAGGAUGGUGGCUUGGGGACUUCCAAGAUCUAUAUACAGAGGUAAGAAAUCGUCAUGGGAUUACAAGAACUGGUUUACUCUGUACUCACCUAAUGCAAGAGGGAAGACCAGUGUGUGUGUGUGUGUGGGGGGGGGGGUUAGUUUCCUUUAACAUCUGCAUGGUUUUGCCCUUUUCAAAUGGCAGUGGGAGCCACUGCGAGCCUGCCAGUGGCCCUGGCUCUUCCAACUGUACGCAGGUCUUUUAAUGGAAAGACAGUGCAAGUUUGAGUUCAGAGGGUCUGGGUGUAGUUCCUACUCCUGCUAAUAAACAGCUGUGCAACCCUGGGAAGUUAGGUGACCUCUCGUAAGAUUAGGUGAAAUUCAAUUGUUAUAAUAAAUAAGUCACAUGGAAG